CUGGAGGGAAAAUGGGUGUUUAAACUAUAAGGUACUCCUUCCUGGUCUAGGCCAUCAUCCUCGAGUGCCAGCAGUCCGAUAACGAGGCGCGCCACUUCCUCCGUUUCCAGAUCGAGAGCAAGGCAAACCCAACCCAACCGAAAUCGAAUCACGAGAGCGGUAUCACCGCAGCUGAUAAGACGCGCCCUGCCGGCUGGGCCGCCUAUAAGAGAUGCCUCCGGCGACGGCCCAAUGCUAUUCCACAACGAGAGCAACCAUGUCCGCAGCACCUAGGAUGUACCUGGCUAUCGUGGCCUGUCUGCUGGCCGUGUCGGUGGGCGGCAAUGGGUUCAGCACCCAGUACCGUGGUCACACGCAGCACCCAACCAUGCCGGAGCACUGCCUCUACGAGGAGCUGGGCCUGGCCGUUCCACUCCAUGGCUUCGUUCUGCCCGCCGGACAGCAGGGCUACUGCCUUCGCCUGGAGUGCACCGAUGACUACCUGCUGCUGAUACGCCACUGCGACAAACAGCCCUGGCCGCGACCUGGCUGCCAUCUCUUCCCCAACGACUAUGAUUUCAAGUACCCAGAGUGCUGUCCCCAACUCGAGUGCUCCGACGAAUACUAGAUGUAGGUCAAAAGCAUUGAUCUGCUUUGAAAUACCAUCUCGCUUUCGCCUGGUUAUUAGUUAUUAGCUAUAGUCCAUUGAUCUUGUGGCAAUGUUUGCCAAAAUACUAUUGCCUACAGAAUACUGUUAUGCCAGCGUCCAGAACGAAUCUGUUCGCAACCAGAAUUUUCCACCUAUUUGAUAAACCCGAGGACCCC